CCAUAGCUUCAUGUCACUCUGAGUUCGGGAAUUGGGAUCCGAACCUCAUGAGACAUUUCCCCCUUUUUCAUUUUUCAACUUAGUUGCAUAUUUAACUACGAUGAGGGUCGAAGGAAUUGAGUCUCCCAAUCGGGGAGCAACGACGAUUCGAAUCGCUUAGCAAUCUAGCUAGAGUUCCUAACCACCCGACAUAUGUAGAAC
rnacentral:lncRNA from 1 species